GUGCAGUGGGCAAAGGUGCAGUGGGUGCAGAUGGGCACAGGUGCAGGUGGGCAUAGGUGCAGUAGGUGCAGGUGCAGUGGGUACAGGUGGGCACAGGUGCAGUGAGUGCAGGUGCAGUGGGCAAAGGUGCAGUGGGUGCAGGUGGGCACAGGUGCAGGUGAGCACAGGUGCAGUGGGUACAGGUGGGCAUAGGUGCAGUGAGUGCAGGUGGGCACAGGUGCAGUGAGUGCAGGUGCAGUGGGUACAGGUGGGCAUAGGUGCAGUGAGUGCAGGUGGGCAUAGGUGCAGUGAGUGCAGGUGCAGGUGGGCGCAGGUCGAGUGGGUGCAGGUGCAGUAGGUGCAGGUGAGCACAGGUGCAGUGGGUACAGGUGGGCACAAGUGCAGAAGGUGCAGGUGCAGUGGGUACAGAUGGGCAUAGGUGCAGUGAGUGCAGGUGAGCACAGGUGCAGUGAGUGCAGGUGCAGGUGGGCGCAGGUCCAGUGGGUGCAGGUGCAGUGGGCACAGGUACAGUGGACACAGGUGGGCACAGGUGCAGUGGGUGCAGGUACAGUGGGCACAGGUGCAGUGGGUGCAGGUACAGUGGGCGCAGGUGCAGUGGGCACAGGUGGGCACAGGUGCAGUGGGCGCAGGUGGGCACAGGUGCG
rnacentral:lncRNA from 1 species